rnacentral:lncRNA from 1 species
CGCCAGUCUAGGGCCUUCUCCUUAUCCACUGUCAUUGGCACCGUCUUCCACACAUCGAGGACGGAGAGGGCAGAGAAGCUGGGGAGCAGCACCUCAAGCCGCCGGCGCCGAUGUCGCUAUGUCUCUGCUUCACAGACGGCAACUCGAUCCCUUGGCUUGUUCCCGAAUGACGCGCUACCGUCCUGGCUGCGUGCCCGCUGCCGCAAGAUGGCAUGGCUCCUGCGAAGAUUGGCUCGUAUAUGAGCACCACGACAGCGCAUACGUGCUUGUCGACCUGUUCUUCAAGGUCGCCGCCAUGGCGGCGCUUCCCAGCUUGUCCCGUCUCCAUGGCUGACACGAGCCCAUCGUCGUCGUAGGAAGGCAUGAGAAGCCUGAAUCUGUCUAUGUCGUCUCUCUCUGUCCAAAUGCAUUUGUCGAAGCUAGCUAGCUAGUUUGUUGCUAAAUACUCCAUUCAUUUCACAAUGUAAGACUUUCUAGUAUUGACUAGAUUUAUACAGAUGCUAAUGAAUUUAGACCCAUAUAUAAAUUAUACAUUAUUUGACUAUCUCUAAAUGUGUGUUUUUUUAUCAUUCUCG